rnacentral:lncRNA from 1 species
CAACACACAGCAACGGCGCGGGUCGCGCCAUUUUUGAUUCUUGGCAAGGGGUAAAACCGAGGCGGUAAAAGAUACCGAUCGCCAUGAGGGAGGGGCGUGUCGCUAGAACCGGGCGAGCGCGCGGCGGAGCACCUGGGCGAGGAGGCCGGGGGCGGAGAGGUGCGGGAGGUGGCCCUCGGUCUGGAGGAACUCGACGGUGGUGCGGCCGCCGAGGUGGGCCUUGAGGUAGGCGGCGACGGAGGCCGGGACGGAGACGUCGCGGGUGGUCUGCACCACCACGCAGGGAGAGCGCACCAUGCCCAGCACGCCGCGGAGAUCGGUGUUGAACACCGUGCGGCAGACGUGGAGGGAGAUGUCCGGGCGCAUGUUGAAGAGGGUGCGGCUGAACUCCUGCACCGCCGCGGGCACGUCCGCGCCCACCGCCAGCGGCGCGUACCCCGUCGCCCACGCCGAGUAGUUGGCCGCCAUCGCGGCGAACACCUGCUGGAUCUCCGGCAGCUCGAACCCGCCGUGGUAGUCGUUGUCGUUCAGGAACCUGAUUUUUUCUUCUUUUCCUUCAGUUUCUUUCCCAACUCAUCGAAACCUCGAAAUAAAGGCUUGAUUGAAAUGAAACUGAAUUCGAUCGAUCGGCAUGUAUGUAUACCUGGGCGAUGCGCCGAUGAGGAUGAGCUUGGCGAAGAGCUCGGGGCGUCGGAUGGAUGCGAGGAUGCCGAUCAUGGCGGAGACGGAGUGCCCGACGAAGGCGCAUCGCGGGAUGCGGAGCGCGUCGAGGAUGGCGAGCAGGUCGUCGACGUAGGAGUCGAGCGUGUCGUAGCGUCGGAAGUCGAAGUGCUCCGGGUUGACGCUGCCGGCGCAGACGAGGUCGUAGAGCACCACGCGGUGGUCGCGGGUGAGGUAGGGGAGCACGCGGCUCCACGCCGACUGGUCCGUCCCGAAGCCGUGGGACAGCACCACCACGCGGUCGCCGCUGCCCACCACCCGCACGUUGAGGAUCUGCAGCAGCUUGGCCCCGCUCGGGGCGCCGCUGCCCGCCGCGCCGCCGCCGCCGCCGCCCCCGACCAUCGUGGCGUCGGAGCUGGACGCCGGGGCCGCCGAGCUGCCGCUGGUGGGGCUGGGCGGGUGCGUGGACCGAAGCAUGAGACCGGGGUGGUUGGGGGGACGGGGAUCGGGAAGCAGAGGCGCCCCGGUCUUAUAUAGCAGCAGCAGGAGCAGAGGCCAUGGGGAUGCUCUGUUCACACCUCUCC